rnacentral:rRNA from 1 species
AGAGUUUGAUCCUGGCUCAGAACGAACGUUGGCGGCGUGGAUUAGGCAUGCAAGUCGAACGAAUCCCAGCCUUCCACAGUGGGCAGUAGGCAGCGGCAGUAGGCAGUAAGAAAACUGCCGAGUGCCGACUGCUGCUGCGUACUGUGGAGGGCUGGGGGAAGUGGCGAAAGGGGCAGUAAGGCGUGGGUAACCUACCCCGGGGACCGGGAUAGCCUUCCUAACGGGAGGAUAAUACCGGGCGAUUUGGCGAGGGGGCAUCCUCUUGCCAGGAAAUGAGUUUCGCCUCGGGAGGGGCUCACGUGAUAUUAGCUUGUUGGCGGGGGGACGGCCCACCAAGGCAAAGAUGUCUAGCGGGUGUGAGAGCACGACCCGCGCCACUGGCACUGAGACACUGGCCAGACUCCUACGGGAGGCUGCAGUCGAGGAUCUUCGGCAAUGGGCGCAAGCCUGACCGAGCGACGCCGCGUGCGCGAUGAAGGCCUUCGGGUUGUAAAGCGCUGUCGAGGGGGAGGAAGCUCCGCAAGGGGUUGACCUAUCCCUGGAGGAAGCACGGGCUAAGUUCGUGCCAGCAGCCGCGGUAAGACGAACCGUGCGAACGUUGUUCGGAUUCACUGGGCUUAAAGGGCGCGUAGGCGGGUCAGCAAGUCCGGGGUGAAAGCUUUCGGCUCAACCGGAAAAGGGCCUUGGAUACUGCUGGUCUGGAGGAAGGUAGGGGCGUGUGGAACUUCCGGUGGAGCGGUGAAAUGCGUAGAUAUCGGAAGGAACGCCGGUGGCGAAAGCGACACGCUGGACCUUUUCUGACGCUGAGGCGCGAAAGCCAGGGGAGCAAACGGGAUUAGAUACCCUCGUAGUCC